AACAACUUAUAUCACGAAAUAGGUUAAAUAAAUGGAAAAAAUGGCUUACUAUUUAAGUUAAAAAUUGGAAGAGAGAAGGAGAUAGCAGGAGAGGCAGCGAGAGAGCGCCCCUCUAGAGUCCACAUUUGGAGUACAUGACGAUGGAGAUUUUGCCCUUUUCGCUUCUGCAAAUGUCACAUCGAAGAAGAAGAGUACAAAUAGUGUCUCCAGAAGAUGAGUUGGACAAUCUACAACAACUCUUAGACAUACAACCUACUGCAACUACUACUCCUAGUAGUUCUGAUUCUUCUGAUUCUUCAGAUCCUUCUAUUGUUGGUUCAUUCUCUAGCAAAAAGAGGACACGUGGCCCAACACAUAACUUAGAUUUACUUAGUAUGAAAUCUGGGGAAAAAAUAACUACACGAUUAAAUACUAGAGGGCAAGUUGUUUAUGAUGGAAAAUGGGAAAGGUUGUCAAGCUAUAUGGGAACAAUGGUGCGAUCUCAACACAAUGUAUCCAAGUUCAAGAUUGGAAUCAUGUUAGUGAAGAUGUGAAGGAAAAGAUUUGGGCCUUAGUAUUGGAAAAAUAUGAACUAGAAGAAACAUGUAAGAGCUACAUUCUGCAAUGUUGUAGAAAUUUGUUUAGAAGCUAUAGAAAUAAAAUGAAGGCCAAGUAUUAUAACCCUUAUAACACAGAUGAGGAGAGAUUGUGCCAUCGACCUCCACACUUAUCGGAUGAUGAUUGGAGGUGGCUCAUCCACUUUUGGGGUACACUUGAGGCCAAGGAUAUCUCAGAAAAAAAAACAAGGCAAAUAGGGCAAAGCAAGUGAUAAAGCAUAUAUCGGGAUCAAAAAGUUAUGCUCAAAUUCGAUAUGAACAGGCACAAAAGAAGGAGGAUCGAAGUGACCCCAAUAGAAUUGAGAUGUUUGCCCUAACACACACAAGAAAAUAUGGGAUGCUUGUUGAUGAUCAUUUUAAGGAGAUUAUGGAUCAAUUUCAGCAAUUACUAUCCCAACUUGAGGGGACAUCUUCUUCUACUUCUGCAUCAUCUGGAGCAUCUACAUCUGUAUCAUCUACAUUUGUAUCAUCUACAUCUAUAGCAUCUACAUUUGUAGCAUCUACAUAUGUAGAUGAGAUAUAUACUCAAGUCAUGGGUCCAGAGAGGCAUGGUCGUGUUCAAGGGUAUGGAUUUGGUCCUACUCCUACCUCAGUCUUUGGUUCUACUAGUAGAUGGCGAUCAAGAGUUAUUCUUUCAACACAACUUGAAAACGCCCAAGAGAUGCUAAUAGCUGCAAAACAAAAGUUUACAACUGCAACUGAAGAACUCUCAAAUGUGAAAGAAACAUUUGAAGAGAAGUUGAUAGAAGUUCAAAGGAAGACACGAGAAGAAGUGAAAAAAGAGUUUGAAGAAAAAAUGAUGGAAAUGCAAAGAAAAAUGCAAUCACAAAUGCAAGCACAAAUUCAAGAAUAGAUGAUGCAAAUGAUGCAACAAUUUCAGCAAAAGCAGUAGAAAUUUGAAUAUUUUGCUACAUCUUUAUAUGAUAGAUUCUCUUAACUUUUUUGAAGAUUAUGCUACUUAUUUAUAUGAUAGAUUCUCCUAACUUUUUUUGCUUUCUAUGACUAUUAUGUGAUGUUUGGUUGGUUGAUUUGUUAUAUUAUGUUAGAAUGUGAAACUAAAUUUGAAUCUC